rnacentral:rRNA from 1 species
AACGAACGCUGGCGGCAUGCCUAACACAUGCAAGUCGAACGAAGUCUUCGGACUUAGUGGCGCACGGGUGCGUAACGCGGGGGAAUCUGCCCUUGGGUACGGAAUAACUCAGAGAAAUUUGUGCUAAUACCGGAUAAUGUCUUCGGACCAAAGAUUUAUCGCCCAAGGAUGAGCCCGCGUAAGAUUAGCUAGUUGGUGGGGUAAAAGCCUACCAAGGCGACGAUCUUUAGCUGGUCUGAGAGGAUGCCCAGCCACACUGGGACUGAGACACGGCCCAGACUCCUACGCGACGCAGCAGUGGGGAAUAUUGGGCACUGGGCGCAAGCCUGAUCCAGCCAUGCCGCGUGAGUGAUCAAGGCCCUAGGGUUGUAAAGCUCUUUUACCAGGGAUGAUAAUGACAGUACCUGGAGAAUAAGCUCCGGCUAACUCCGUG